AGCCUGACGGAAUCACGGUUUUGUUCUCGUUCCAGCACGAGCCACAGGACAGAGAUUCGUGUGUUAACAGUCACUCUGACGCUGAAAGAAAGGAGUGAUUAUUCCCAUUUUACAGAGGAGGAAACUGAGUCUCAGGGGUGUUAACUGCGUGGCCAGCAGUCAAAGAGCCGAGGGGGAUGGAGACGGGAUGUGCGGCCGGUGGGGCUUCCCGGGGCUUGAACAACAGACACCGCAUCCCUGAGGGAGGAUUUCACAUGACCUGCCUGUGGAAAGAAAGAGUCAAGCUGUUUAUCUGUUCUUCAAGUGACCUCAGCUGCGGCCGGGUGAGGAGCUGCUUCUCUUCUGUCCCGUGAGCGUCUCCCGGGUAUUUUGCCAGCCUCAUCCUUUCUGUGAUCACAGAUGGAAUUUCUACGUUUCUGACACCAGCCCGACUGCAAUUUAAUUCUCACAAGGUAUUUCCCGAGAUUGCUGGUGCCCAAUUCCUGAGCCUCCCUGGACACAGAGCAGCACCCGGGCACAGUAGUUGGCAUGACGAGACCACAGGAUGCCAGGACUGGGAGUGACGUCGGAGACAAUAACCCACACACCAGCCUUGAAUCCUGAAAGAAGUUUGCUCGUGGGGAAAUUAGGGCCAGGCGUGUGCAGUGGCUCUGCCGGUCAUGCCUUGUCCUUCCUCCAUCCAGCAGGCCCUUCUCAGGAGUGUGAUAGAGGCAGAGGCAGAGCGGAACGGGUGAGUUUUCCGCACUGCUGAGCUGCCCGGGUGCGAGGCUGGCGGGGAGCUUGGGACGCACGGGAGGGCCCUACACCCACCUCGUGUGAGCUCCGAAGCCCAGGAGCAGAGAGGAGGGUGGAGCAGCACUGUCCCUCCCGCACAGGGAUAUACUUAACGUGUGUUCCCAUAGCUACACUCACAAAAUGCCACAGAGGCUUCCAAAACCCAUCUGUUUGGAAUGUAUCCAGGGUUUACACUGAAAAUACCAAAAUCCUUAAAGAGACUUCAGCCUCACAAGAGGCUGGUGAUUUGUAAGUUUGCAUCCCGCAUGCGAUCUGGACGCCAUGUUCCCAGCUCAGGGAGACGUUACGAGUUCCCCCUAAACCCACUGCUCUGAGCAGACUGAGCAGCCAGUCCUGCUCCUCAGGCGCCCGAGGCCUACGUGCAGCGAACUGGAUUCAGGCCCACACUCAUCCUCAGGUCCUGCCCCUGUGCUCAUCCUGUCUCGCAGGCAGCUCGGCCUCUCCCCAGUGCAGAGACCGCUUUUCUCCAUUUGCUUUUCAUCGCCCCACCCCACACUCCAGGUGGCACCAGCCUGUUCGAGCCCUGCUGAUGCCCAAUAAAUGCCUGUGCCCAGCAGGCUCAUGGUCCAACCAUAUGUAACCCCCGUCUCCCCCACACCCAGUCCGUCCACACCUGUCUCCCACCUGCAGGAUCACAGCUCACAUGAGGCAGCUCGGUCCCUCCUGUGCGGACAGCAGCACCAGCACCGGCCUGUGGGGGCUUUGGCAGCCCAUCCGGGGUUGGGUGUGGUCACGUGGGAAGGAAGGACGGGGGCAGGAGGCCGAGAAGGACGAGCACAUCUGAGGCAAGCAGGAAAAUGUUGAGCCUCUGAGUCAUGACCUCAGGCCCCCCUCCAGCUUUCACGGCCCCACAUGACCUCCCUGGGACCUGAAAUCCGGCAUCCAACAGACAAUGCGGUUCUCAGCUCUCAGAUCUCCCGGCUCCAAUCAGAAUUCAGCUCUGAGGCUCAGAGUUUAUCAUGUAAUCUUUCCAGCGAGCACGAAGCAAAGCAGUGCUGACCAACUCCACUUCCCCGAACACAUUUCUGUUUGUGUAUUUACCUGUGAGUGAUGCAGAAAGCACGAGUGUUAAUGCCGCCCUCUGCUUGGGCCACACUUGGUCGUGCCAUCGUAGCCACCAGGUGCCUUCCUGUCCUCCAGAUGGCAGGGCCACAGGAAGCACCUGCAGGGCCCCCAGCAGAGGCAGGGCCCAGACUCAGGGGUGCGGCCACAGUGCAGUUCCCACCGAUUCAAACACAUGAGAGCAUCACUGUAAAAGUAACACCUCCCAGCCUCAGCACGGACCUGCUCCCAUCACACUGUCUUAUCUGCCAGAACCUGCGUCCAGUGACGCCAAGCCAGAGGCUGCCGCCAGGUGACGGAGCCGUUCACCACCACAGGGCAGCAAGACCACUGCUGCCUCCCACAGACAACCCAUCCUCUGUGUGGCUACAGGGGCUGACUUUGUUCCCAGCCCUGCCGAGCACUUGUAAAUCAACACGAGGAUUCGAUGACCUGCUCACGCUUGACUUAUGCCAGGACAGUGCAUCUAGUGAAGCUGGAGGAGGCAGUCAGUGCGCGUCGCCACGUGCCUCACACCGUCUCAGCAAAUCCUCAGAACCACCUAAGACACCCAGAAAUGCAGGCUCCCGGGGUGAGGGAACUUACGCAGUCUCUCAGCUGGUGGGAGGCAGGGCUGUGAACCGAACGCGGUUCUCUCUAAAAGGCAGAGCGUUUCCCCUCCACACCUUGGCUCACUUUGUGAUUUAUCAAUGAGGCACAAUCUUAUCUUAAAAUAGUAAUCUGC